UCCUCGGUAGCUCAGCGGUAGAGCAAGUGGCUGUUAACCACUGGGUCGGCGGUCCGAAUCCGUCCCGAGGAGCCA
rnacentral:tRNA from 1 species